UCCCCAUGUGGACAAGGCCAGUGGCAAU
rnacentral:piRNA from 1 species